rnacentral:rRNA from 1 species
AGAUUGAACGCUGGCGGCAUGCUUUACACAUGCAAGUCGAACGGCAGCGCGGGGCAACCUGGCGGCGAGUGGCGAACGGGUGAGUAAUAUAUCGGAACGUACCCAAGAGUGGGGGAUAACGUAGCGAAAGUUACGCUAAUACCGCAUACGAUCUAAGGAUGAAAGCAGGGGACCGCAAGGCCUUGUGCUCCUGGAGCGGCCGAUAUCUGAUUAGCUAGUUGGUAGGUAAAGGCCUACCAAGGCUACGAUCAGUAGCUGGUCUGAGAGGACGACCAGCCACACUGGAACUGAGACACGGUCCAGACUCCUACGGGAGGCAGCAGUGGGGAAUUUUGGACAAUGGGCGCAAGCCUGAUCCAGCAAUGCCGCGUGAGUGAAGAAGGCCUCGGGUCGUAAAGACUCUUU